rnacentral:rRNA from 1 species
AUGGUCCACCCAGUGUUUCAUGUGUCUCAACUCAAGGGCCAUGUGCCGGAUCAUACUCCGAUGUUUACUACUCUUCCGGUUCCAGUCGAUCUAUCAGCACCUGGUGUGAUACCUGAGGAGAUUCUGGAUCGCCGACUGGUCAAAAAGGGCAAUGCAUCUUAUCUUCAGAUACUGGUCAAGUGGUCGUCGAUCCCUGCGGCGUCAGCAACCUGGGAAGAUUACCAAGUACUCAAGGAGCGUUACCCAGAUGCACCAGCCUGGGGACAUGCUGGUUCUUCAGGGGGAGGUAUUGUAAGUACUCUGCAGAUGGCAAAGGCGCGGGCAAGGCGAGGGAAGCGGGAAGCAGCCAAGGCGAAGGCGUAA